rnacentral:rRNA from 1 species
UACGGAGGGUGCGAGCGUUAAUCGGAAUUACUGGGCGUAAAGCGCACGUAGGUGGUUGGGUAAGUCGGAUGUGAAAGCCCUGGGCUUAACCUGGGAACUGCAUUCGAUACUGCCCGGCUAGAGUAUGGGAGAGGGAAGCGGAAUUUCCGGUGUAGCGGUGAAAUGCGUAGAUAUCGGAAGGAACAUCAAUGGCGAAGGCAGCUUCCUGGCCCAAUACUGACGCUCAGGUGCGAAAGCGUGGGGAUCAAACAGG